rnacentral:rRNA from 1 species
GGGCCCGCACAAGCAGCGGAGCAUGUGGUUUAAUUCGAAGCAACGCGAAGAACCUUACCAGGUCUUGACAUCCAGUAAAAUCUGUAGAGAUACAGUGUGCUUUCGGGCGUACUGAGACAGGUGGUGCAUGGUUGUCGUCAGCUCGUGUCGUGAGAUGUUGGGUUAAGUCCCGCAACGAGCGCAACCCUUGCCAAUAAUUACUAACGUGUAAAGACGAGGACUAUAUUGGGACCGCCGGGGACAACUCGGAGGAAGGUGGGGACGACGUCAAAUCAUCAUGCCCCUUAUGACCUGGGCUACACACGUGCUACAAUGGCCGAGACAGAGAGUGGCGAAGGCGCGAGCCGGAGCGGAUCUCAAAAAAGCGGUCACAGUUCGGAUUGUGGGCUGCAACCCGCCCACAUGAAGCAGGAGUUGCUAGUAAUCGCGAAUCAGCAUGUCGCGGUGAAUACGUUCCCGGGCCUU